CUUGAGACUUUGAAUUCGAAAUCAAAUGAAGAGAAGAAGAGAAAAGGUUAAAACCUUGAUCAAAGUGGAUUUUUCUACCCUUCUUGGACUUUGCUGAGUUCCCAUCCUUCCCUCCUGCACCAAAAACCCUAGAACUUAGCAAAGAAUCUCGAGGAAAAUGAUGUUAAACAACAAAGAAACAGAGUGAGGGAAUACACAAACCAUCUUUAGAUUUGAGAGAGGAUUUGAGCCCUUUGCCUCCUUUCUCUGACAUUUUUCUGUUACGAGAACGAUUGAGAUCAAAGCAGAGAGAUAAAAAUGCAAACUUUACAAACUACAGUGGUCUAUAGCAGUGGCCAGUGGGGAAGUGAGAAAGCAUCAAAACGUUACCAAAAGUGUUGUGGUCGAUUGGGCUUCUUACGCUUAUCUAUCAUCAUUAUUAGUUUUCAUAAUAGCCCACGACUUGAGCCCACGAGUUUUAUUACACUCAAAAGUUUGACUAAAUAAGUAAAAGGGAUACUGUUUUCGUUUUUGUUUUCUAACGCCAUUUUAUUAGAUCAGAACUUGUUUACAUAAACCUCCUUAAACAUAACAGAUGAU
rnacentral:lncRNA from 1 species